rnacentral:rRNA from 1 species
AUUGAACGCUGGCGGCAGGCCUAGCACAUGCAAGUCGAGCGGAUGAGAGGAGCUUGCUUCUCGAUUCAGCGGCGGACGGGUGAGUAAUGCCUAGGAAUCUGCCAGGUAGUGGGGGACAACGUUUCGAAAGGAACGCUAAUACCGCAUACGUCCUACGGGAGAAAGCAGGGGACCUUCGGGCCUUGCGCUAUCAGAUGAGCCUAGGUCGGAUUAGCUAGUUGGUGAGGUAAUGGCUCACCAAGGCGACGAUCCGUAACUGGUCUGAGAGGAUGAUCAGGCACACUGAAACUGAGACACGGUCCAGACUCCUACGGGAGGCAGCAGUGGGGGAAUAUUGGACAAUGGGCGAAAGCCUGAUCCAGCCAUGCCGCGUGUGUGAAGAAGGUCUUCGGAUUGUAAAGCACUUUAAGUUGGGAGGAAGGGUUGUAGAUUAAUACUCUGCAAUUUUGACGUUACCGACAGAAUAAGCACCGGCUAACUCUGUGCCAGCAGCCGCCGUAACAC